UACGUAGGGUGCGAGCGUUAAUCGGAAUUACUGGGCGUAAAGGGCGCGUAGGCGGCGUGCCAAGUCAGGCGUGAAAGCCCCGGGCUCAACCUGGGAACCGCGCUUGAGACUGGCAUGCUCGAGUUCGGGAGAGGAUGGUGGGAUUCCCAGUGUAGAGGUGAAAUUCGUAGAUAUUGGGAAGAACACCAAUGGCGAAGGCAGCCAUCUGGACCGACACUGACGCUGAGGCGCGAAAGCGUGGGGAGCAAACAGG
rnacentral:rRNA from 1 species